rnacentral:lncRNA from 1 species
GCCAUAUUUAUCAUCAUAAACGAUAGGGAAGAAUCGAUUUAAUAUCCAUCUAUCAUUGUGAAUCAGCAUAAUAUAAUUUAAAAGUCCAUAAGCCAAAACGUAGAUCAAGAUCAAUCAGAAGCAAUUUAAAAUAACAUAAUUAUGUUCAGGAGUUCCUCUAAAACGUAGAUCAGGAUCAAUCAUGAUCCAUUUAAAAAUAAUAUAAUUAUUUUCAGGAGUUCCUCCAAUACGUAAAUCAGGAUCAAUCAGAAUCAAUUUAAAAAUAAUAUAAAUAAUUUCAGGGUUCGUCCAAAACGUAGAUCAGGAAUCCAAAACAUAGGAUCCCUGUUUAUGUGAAGGCAAUGUUGAGGAUGGACGAGUUCGUCCAGAUCGAACCCAUUCCGAUUGAACUCGUUCCAUCUUCCCUUCACUCACCCUCUUCCCUUCCCUUCCCAUCUCCCAUGAUUAUCUCCUUUUAACAAUUUAACACUCUACAUACCUCCUUUGUUGCCAUUUGAGCUUCACACCUACCACACCACGACACUGGUGCUCCCUUACAGAUCUCAGCCACGAUGCCCUAGCCGUCCUCCCUUUCUCCUAGCUGCCCUCCUUCUUCCUCUUCCUCCUUCCGUAUUCCCUUUCUGUUUUCCAAUCUUCCCUUUCUAUCAUUUUAUUUUUAUAUUCCUAGUGUUUUUACGUUUUUACUCUUAAUCGGGUUACCUACAAUUAAUAACCAGUUACACAAAAUCACCGGUUAUUACAAUCUUCCCCCCUAAUUAGAAUUUUGGUCCCCAAAAUUAAACUUCCGAUCACCAUCAUAUUUAUUAUUAAACAUUUACUCCCAUGCGGCCAUCAUCUUGUCUUCUUACUCCCAUGCGGCCUCCUCACUUGGGUAAUUUUCCCACUGCACCUUGACAUUUCUACAAGUUUUGUUUCGGAUACGAUGUUCCUUCCUACCUAUGAUCCGUGUUCAAUAUGUUUUUGAUACCUUUAAAAACCUUAUGUCGUAUUACAUGACUUGGUUCUGUAAUAUACCAUCGCAACAUUGAUACGUGAAAAACAUUGUGCAUUCGACUCAGUUGUGGUGGUAACGCCACUCUGUACGUUGCAUUUCCAAUACAGUCCAAUAUCUCGAAUGGAUCGAUGUAUCUGGGUUUUAGUUUCCCUCGUAACCCGAAUCGAGAUGUUCCUUUAGUUGUGAUAACUUUUAGAAAUACAUGAUCUUCCACCUCAAAUUUUAAUUCCCUUCUUCUCUUGUUAGCAUAACUUUUCUGUCGACUUUGCGUUGCCAACAACCUCUUCCGUAUCUCGCCAAUAUUCUCCGAUGACUUUUGGAACAUCUCCGGCCCUAACAUUUGGCGACCCCUCACCUCAAACCAACAUAACGGUGAUCGGCAUGGUCGGCUAUAUAACGCCUCAAAAGGGCCAUUUUUAUGCUUGCAUGAUAACUGUUGUUGUACGCAAACUCGAUUAGUGGGAGUUGGUCCUCCCAACUCUCUUGGAACUUCAAUGCACAAGCCCUAAGCAUAUCCUCCAAGGUUUGAAUAGUCCUCUCCGACUGUCUGUGGGUGGAAGGCUGUGCUAAAUUUCAACUGUGUGCCCAUGACUUCCUGCAACUUUCAAUUAGGAUCAAUUUAAAAAUAAUAUAAAUAAUUUCAGGGUUCGUCCAAAACGUAGAUCAGGAUCCAAAACAUAGGAUCCCUGUUUAUGUGAAGGUAAGGUUGAGGAUGGACGAGUUCGUCCAGAUCGAACCCAUUCCGAUUGAACUCGUUCCAUCUUCCCUUCACUCACCCUCUUCCCUUCCCUUUCCAUCUCACAUGAUUAUCUCCUUUUAAUAAUCUAACACUCUACAUACCUCCUUUGUUGCUCCUUACCACACCAUGACACUGGUGCUCCCUUACAGAUCCCAGCCACGAUGCCCUAGCCGUCCUCCUUCUUCCUCUUCCUCCUUCCGUGUUCCUUUUCUUUUUUCCAAUCUUC